GACGAACGCUGGCGGCGUGCUUAACACAUGCAAGUCGAACGGAAAGGCCCUGCUUUUGUGGGGUGCUCGAGUGGCGAACGGGUGAGUAACACGUGAGUAACCUGCCCUUGACUUUGGGAUAACGUCAGGAAACUGGGGCUAAUACCGGAUAGGAGCUCCUGCUGCAUGGUGGGGGUUGGAAAGUUUCGGCGGUUGGGGAUGGACUCGCGGCUUAUCAGCUUGUUGGUGGGGUAGUGGCUUACCAAGGCUUUGACGGGUAGCCGGCCUGAGAGGGUGACUGGCCACAUUGGGACUGAGAUACGGCCCAGACUCCUACGGGAGGCAGCAGUGGGGAAUAUUGCACAAUGGGCGGAAGCCUGAUGCAGCAACGCCGCGUGCGGGAUGACGGCCUUCGGGUUGUAAACCGCUUUCGCCUGUGACGAAGCGUGAGUGACGGUAAUGGGUAAAGAAGCACCGGCUAACUACGUG
rnacentral:rRNA from 1 species